AGGGGUGUGGCGCAACGGGAAGCGCACCGGUCUCCAAAACCGAAGGUUGCAGGUUCGAGCCCUGUCACCCCUGC
rnacentral:tRNA from 1 species